CGAAGGUAGCAUAAUCAGUAGUCUUUUAAUUGAAGGCUGGUAUGAAUGGUUGGACGAGAUAUUAACUGUUUCAUAAGAAUUUAUAAUAGAAUUUUAUUUUUUAGUAAAAAAGCUAAAAUGAAUUUAAAAGACGAGAAGACCCUAUAAAUCUUUAUAUUUAGUUUAUUAUAAUUUUGUAGAUUUUUUUUAUUAUAAUAGAUAAUAAUAUUUUAUUGGGGUGAUAUUAAAAUUUAAUAAACUUUUAAUUUUUAAAAAUCAUUAAUUAAUGAAUAAUUGAUCCGUUAUUAACGAUUAAAAAAAUAAGUUACUUUAGGGAUAACAGCGUAAUUUUUUUGGAGAGUUCUUAUCGAUAAAAAAGAUUGCGACCUCGAUGUUGGAUUAA
rnacentral:rRNA from 1 species